CUACGUGCCAGCAGCCGCGGUAAUACGUAUGUCACGAGCGUUAUCCGGAUUUAUUGGGCGUAAAGCGCGUCUAGGUGGUUAUAUAAGUCUGAUGUGAAAAUGCAGGGCUCAACUCUGUAUUGCGUUGGAAACUGUAUAACUAGAGUACUGGAGAGGUAAGCGGAACUACAAGUGUAGAGGUGAAAUUCGUAGAUAUUUGUAGGAAUGCCGAUGGGGAAGCCAGCUUACUGGACAGAUACUGACGCUGAAGCGCGAAAGCGUGGGUAGCAAACAGGAUUAGAUACCCUGGUAGUCCACGCUGUAAACGAUGAUUACUAGGUGUUGGGGGUCGAACCUUAGCGCCCAAGCAAACGCGAUAAGUAAUCCGCCUGGGGAGUACGUACGCAAGUAUGAAACUCAAAGGAAUUGACGGGGACCCGCACAAGCGGUGGAGCAUGUGGUUUAAUUCGACGCAACGCGAGGAACCUUACCAGCGUUUGACAUC
rnacentral:rRNA from 1 species